UACGUAGGGUGCAAGCGUUGUCCGGAAUUAUUGGGCGUAAAGAGCUCGUAGGCGGUUUGUCGCGUCUGCUGUGAAAACCUAAGGCUCAACCUUGGGCUUGCAGUGGGUACGGGCAGACUAGAGUGCGGUAGGGGUGACUGGAAUUCCUGGUGUAGCGGUGGAAUGCGCAGAUAUCAGGAGGAACACCGGUGGCGAAGGCGGGUCUCUGGGCCGACACUGACACUGAGAGACGAAAGCUAGGGGAGCGAAUGGG
rnacentral:rRNA from 1 species